rnacentral:rRNA from 1 species
AUUGAACGCUGGCGGCAUGCCUUACACAUGCAAGUCGAACGGUAACAGGUCUUCGGAUGCUGACGAGUGGCGAACGGGUGAGUAAUACAUCGGAACGUGCCUAGUAGUGGGGGAUAACUACUCGAAAGAGUGGCUAAUACCGCAUGAGAUCUACGGAUGAAAGCAGGGGAUCGCAAGACCUUGUGCUACUAGAGCGGCCGAUGGCAGAUUAGGUAGUUGGUGGGAUAAAAGCUUACCAAGCCGACGAUCUGUAGCUGGUCUGAGAGGACGAUCAGCCACACUGGGACUGAGACACGGCCCAGACUCCUACGGGAGGCAGCAGUGGGGAAUUUUGGACAAUGGGCGCAAGCCUGAUCCAGCAAUGCCGCGUGCAGGAUGAAGGCCUUCGGGUUGUAAACUGCUUUUGUACGGAACGAAAAGCCCUGGGUUAAUACCCUGGGGUCAUGACGGUACCGUAAGAAUAAGCACCGGCUAACUACGUACCAGCAGCCGCCGCUGUAA